CGUGCUGUCGUCUAACUGGUUAGGACGCUGCCCUCUCAAGGCAGAAAUUUGCGGGUUCGAGCCCCGCCUGCACGA
rnacentral:tRNA from 1 species